UACGUAGGGGGCUAGCGUUGUCCGGAUUUAUUGGGCGUAAAGAGCGUGUAGGCGGCCAGGUAGGUCUGCUGUGAAAACUCGAGGCUCAACCUCGAGAUGUCAUCGGAAACCAUUUGGCUAGAGUCCGGAAGAGGAGAGUGGAAUUCCUGGUGUAGCGGUGAAAUGCGCAGAUAUCAGGAAGAACACCAAUGGCGAAAGCAGCUCUCUGGGACGGUACUGACGCUGAGACGCGAAAGCGUGGGGAGCGAACAGG
rnacentral:rRNA from 1 species